CCUCAUCUUGUAAUAAAUCAUGCAUACCACACAGGUCUAUAGUCUGUAAUAUAUGGAUACAAGCAUAUGGUAUCACAUAAAUAUCAUCUACUGUCAACAAUCUUCAUGUCAGGACACCAAGCAUACCACACAGGUCUAUAGUCUGUAAUAUAUGGAUACACGCAUAUGGUAUCACAA